UACGGAGGGUGCAAGCGUUGCUCGGAAUUAUUGGGCGUAAAGGGUAGGUAGGUGGUCUCAUUUGUCUGGGGUGAAAGCCUUGAGCUUAACUCAAGAAGUGCCCCAGAAACGGUGAGACUGGAGUCCUGGAGAGGGUCGUGGAAUUCCCGGUGUAGCGGUGAAAUGCGUAGAGAUCGGGAGGAACACCAGAGGCGAAAGCACUCUGCUGGGCCGACACUGACACUGAGAGACGAAAGCUAGGGGAGCGAAUGGG
rnacentral:rRNA from 1 species